AAAUUUGAGAUUUAUUGAAAUGGAAUUUUAUGCUUGUUUUGGUGAUUAAUUUUUGAAUAUAUGGACCUUAUUCAUGAUAAAUGUGUUAUAAUGAUGAUUUGAGAUACAUAUGGGAUUGACCAUUUGUCCUAUCUUUGGUAACAACAAAGAGGGUUGUUCUAAGGAGUUCCAACUUUAAAGAAUAUUUCAAUGGUCAAAUUCGAGUAUAAUAGACCUUUGGUCGAAUAUGUUGUUGAACCCCCACUGGGUUCUGGAUGUGAAAUAGCUAUAGAUAUGGGAUUGAUAUAAAGAUAUGAUGAUCAUAAAUGA
rnacentral:lncRNA from 1 species